rnacentral:misc_RNA from 1 species
GUGAGUCAUCGAAUCUUUGAACGCACAUUGCGCCCGCCAGUAUUCUGGCGGGCAUGCCUGUCCGAGCGUCAUUUCAACCCUCAAGCCCCCGGGCUUGGUGUUGGGGGCCGGCCCUGCGCCGCCCCCGAAAUGCAGUGGCGACCUCGCCGCAGCCUCCCCUGCGUAGUAGCACAACCUCGCACCGGAGCGCGGAGACGGUCACGCCGUAAAACGCCCAACUUCUACAGAGUUGACCUCGGAUCAGGUAGGAAUACCCGCUGAACUUAAGCAUAUCAAUAAGCGGAGGA